rnacentral:rRNA from 1 species
AGCGAACCCUGGCGGCAUGCCUUACACAUGCAAGUCGAACGGUAACAGGUCUUCGGAUGCUGACGAGUGGCGAACGGGUGAGUAAUACAUCGGAACGUGCCUAGUAGUGGGGGAUAACUACUCGAAAGAGUGGCUAAUACCGCAUGAGAUCUACGGAUGAAAGCAGGGGAUCGCAAGACCUUGUGCUACUAGAGCGGCCGAUGGCAGAUGAGGUAGUUGGUGGGAUAAAAGCUUACCAAGCCGACGAUCUGUAGCUGGUCUGAGAGGACGAUCAGCCACACUGGGACUGAGACACGGCCCAGACUCCGACGGGAGGCAGCAGUGGGGAAUUUUGGACAAUGGGCGAAAGCCUGAUCCAGCAAUGCCGCGUGCAGGAUGAAGGCCUUCGGGUUGUAAACUGCUUUUGUACGGAACGAAAAGCCCCGGGUUAAUACCCUGGGGUCAUGACGGUACCGUAAGAAUAAGCACCGGCUAACUACGUGCCAGCCGCCGCCGUAA